rnacentral:rRNA from 1 species
GAGAUCUUAGUGCAAGCGGCCGUGGUGAGAGACAGGGGGCGAGCGUUAAACGGGGUUAUGGGGCGGAAAGCGAGAGUGGGGGGGUAAUUAAGGCAGAGGUGAAUUCCCCGAGCGUAACUUGGGGAUUGCCUUCGAGACUGGUUAACUAGAGUAUGGGAGAGGAUGGUAGAAUUCCAGGUGUUGCGGGGAAAUGCGUAGAGAUCUGGAGGAAUACCGAUGGCGAAGGCAGCCAUCUUGCCUAAUACUGACGCUGAGGUGCGAAAGCAUGGGGAGCAAACAGGAUUAGAUACCCCGGUAGUC